UUCUGCAGAGUCACGGGGCAGACGCGCUCCUCCUCUUCUUCCUCCUCCUCCUCCACGGCCCCGGGACUGUGCGCUGCAGGUCCGUUCAUCUCCAUCGUCAGCCCGGACUGAGAGAUGUCUGUGAGGGAUGAGCUGGGAGCAUCGGGUGGAUGUCAGAGCAGCACCGACAUGAUCCACGUUGCCGUUAAAAGUGUCAGUGAGAGCAGAGACUUCACGGUCCCAUGCGACUGCACCGUCAGACAGCUGAAGCAUGAUCUCUCGGAUAAGGCGGGGGCCUCAGCAGAGCAGCUCCUGCUGAUCCACUCCGGCCGAGUCCUCACAGAGUCUCAGAUCCUGAGUCACCUUAAAGGGAAGAGUGAUGCUGUCAGCCUCUGCAUGAUCCGAAGGCCUCAGUGUUCCUCUGCUGCCGCUGAUCUGUCCUUGGAGACGAUCAACCAAGAGCUCACAGACGUUCUCGACCCUGAUCAUGACAACCUGACACCAUCUCCCAUCUCUCCCCUCUGCCUGGUGGACAGUCUUGGCCUGGCAACAGGCGAGUCUGGCUUCUUCCCUGCACUCCAGCACCAGAUGGAGAAGCAGCUGUUGGAUAACCCAGAGAUGAUGCGUCGUGUCCUGGGCAGCCCUUUGGUGCAGAGCAUACUCUCUACUUCCAGCCCCCAGAUAACCAGACAGCUCAUUCUGUCCAAUCCUCAAAUCCAGAAUCUCCUAGAGACAAAUCCAGAGGUGGGAGACAUGCUCAACAACACAGACAUCAUCACAGAGGUGCUGGAGCUGGUCAGAAACCCUGACAUGAUAGAGGAAGUGAUGUGUAAUGAAGACCGCGCAAUGGACGAGUUGAAAUCAGAGCGAGACAACCCUGAACCCAUCAAUGGGGACUCUGAUGGCCUCCUGAAGACUGAAGCAGAAAUACAGGAACAUGAUCUCAAUCUAUCACAGACAGGAGGACCCCAAGUGGAGACUAUCUCAUCUGGGAAACAACAGGCCCCCAAAGGAGAAAGAAACCAGAGACCGUUGUUCUCCAGUCAGUCCACAGAUCCUCUCAGAGACCUGACUGCCACACCCACAGCUGACCCAAACCCUCAGAGCACUGUCACUGCAGGCAUGCAGUCCCUGCUGGAGGAGAUCACGGCCAGUCCUGGUCUGAUGGAGAGCCUUCUCUCUGGGCCGUACGUCAGCAGUCUUCUGAACUGCCUCGGCCAAAACCCGGAUCUGGCUGCACAGAUGCUGCUGAGCCACCCUUUGUUCUCUGGGAAUCCUGAGCUGCAGCAGCAGAUGAGACAGCAGCUCCCUCUCUUCCUGCAACAGAUGCAGAGUCCGGAGCUGCUGUCGGCCAUGUUGAACCCCAGAGCCAUGGAGGCUCUGCUACAGAUCCAGCAGGGACUACAAACUCUGGCUGCAGAGGCUCCCGCCCUCAUACCUGCGGCUGGACUCGGAAACACUGGAGCCAGGGUUGAUGUUGCCCCUGAGCUCGAAUCCAACUCUUUCCUGAACAGCCACUCAGGAAAUUGUCCUCCGGUUGCCACGGUGACAGAGCAGCAGCAGACGUUUGUGCAACAGAUGCUGCAGGCACUGGCUGAUAAUGGGGGCCAUCGUGAGGAGGCUGAGCUCCAAGAGGAGCUGGAGCACCUGAGCUCGAUGGGCUUCAAAGACAGACAGGCGAACCUUCAGGCCCUCAUCAGCACAGGAGGAGACCUCAGCACGGCCAUACAACAUCUGAUCGGGCUCUGACACGCACUCAAACACACACAUGCACGCACAUUGAUCUGUGUGGACCCCACUGUGGAUUCAGGGUAUACACAUGUUCUGACAUCUUCACAUAAGCACCGUCACUCAAACAUAAUGAUAAACCUACAGGUAACAACAUUUAAAAAACUGCUUUGCAAAAAUGUAACAUUCAAGCCAUAUUUAUAUUCCUGUAAUUCUUAGCCAUAGUUUUAUUCAUUCCUUAACUUCCCAUACUAACCUGUCUGCAGUAGUAAACUGCUGUAUAGUCAGUCCUGGUAUAAAAGUCACACUGCUCUACUAUUAACAGUCUAGGAUGGGGGGGUGCAGCUUACUGACCAGAUUGAAAAGCCCCAUGAGACAAGUUUGUGAUUUUGGGCUAUAUACAUGAAUAUAAAUUACAUAAUACAAAUAACAACAGACUUUAUUGAGUUGUUAUGAUAAGACUUACAAUUUGUGUCCUUCCAGACUCAACACUGUAGGUUUAUAUAGAGUGAAAACAAGGAUACAAUCACUUUAACCCUGUCAGUGACAUGCACUGGUGCAGAUCAGUACAGCUACUUAAAUCAUCACACACUUAAGUCUUGUAGCAGUUGCAUAAAUAUUCAGAGGUAGUUCAUGUAAUAUUAAUCUCUGUGCAGACACACUAUGACGCUCAAGCCUCUUUUCAUCUUGCCACCUGGACAGAGUCUAAUGAAAUCUUUGAACACCCAGAGGAAGUCCGAUGUCCUGGAACGCUGAUGGAGGAUUCACUCUCAGUCUCAGUCAACAGACUGAACCAGGAGCAUCGUCUGUUGUUGCUGCUUUUCUUCUCUUCUAUCUUGUUCACUACAGGCUGUGCAGUGGCCACAUGCAGCAGACGAUUCAUCAAGUUUGUCUCCAAAGGCAAAAGCUUGAAAGAUGUGUUCAAAAUGGAAAAGCUUGACUCUGUGCUCGAAUGUCAAUGUUUAUCUUGAGGCGGCACAGACACAGAAACUCAGAUUUGCUCAACUUAUCCUCUCAACACUCUCUGGAGAAAACAAGGCAAGAAAAAUGGAUAUGAGAAAAAUGAAAAAUUAUUUCCUUUGCUUAGCACCACUGGUGACGACUUGAGGCCGAUAAUGUGCUGCUCGACCUCCGCGCCUAGAUCAGUAACGCUCCUGCUGAUGUCCAGAGACAACACAUUCUCUUCAUCCAGCGGAGGCUCUAAAGCAUCAAACUGGGAGCGCAGCAGGUCGGCUUUCAUGUAAUGUCCCCUGCGGGCCACCAUCCUCUGGUGAAUGAGACCGUAGUCCCCAUGUAGGAAGAGGAAAAAGACAUCAGGAGCGACGGGAGGCAGGAUGUCUUGGUCGAGGGCUCUGGAGCCGUGCAGCAGGAUCUGCCUGUAGAGACGCUUCAGGGCGGAGCACGUCACUAAAGCAUCGGAGCCUGAGCAUCUUUCUCUGCAGUGAAAACACACAUACACACGUAUGAACACUGAACUAAAAGGAUUAGAAGGAGAAUGUUAAAAACAGCACUGGGGAAACUAGACGUAACGUGAACUAUGGUCACAAACAGCUCAAGGAGGUGGGAAGAAAACGAGGGACACAAGAAAAGAGGAGAAUAUGUGUGACUGAGUAGAAGAGUGACGGAAAAGCAGGUCUUUGAUGUCGCCGCAUCGUUUUUAAGAAAGCGAUGGCACACUUUCCACUCCUCCGUCACCUCUUCUCCACACUCUCACUCACUUAAUCUGUCUUUACUCGCCCAAAUUUCCUCCCCUCGCUCUCUGGUUUUCAUCUCAAUUUUCUAAACCAUCUUUGAUAUUUUUGAUCUUCUCCAACAAUUUCACGCCUGCGUAUCCUCACCUCGCUCCUCAGCUCCCUCUCUCUGAACUCAUCCUCUACUACAUUCCUGAUAGGAAAAAGUAUCUGCUGUUUUCUAUCUGAGGGUGUGUGUGUGAACGUUUUUUUUAAAAAUAUGCAGCAAAUACUGUGAGUGGAUGUAUAAACACAUAUUCUUACGUUUGAAUCACUUCAUGUAGUCGCAGGAGCCAAGGAAAUCUGUCCUGAAGAGACAACAUGAAUGGAUUUAUUAAUAUUGUAAACAGCGUUCAACAAGAUUGUAGCAUAAAUAUUAUAGAUAUUCAGAUAUUAGACAGGAGUGAGUUGCAUUAAACAGCACAUUGGAAUAGUGUACUUUUUAAUAGAUGUUUCUUUUUCUUGUUAGAUUUAUCGUUGUCCAAGGAAACAUUUAUUAUAUCUAACCACUCUUGUAUUGUGGGAGGUUCAGGAAGCAACCAGUACGAGCUUUUUAACCAUCAGAUGUCAAAACCAUUCUCAACAUUUUUGAAAGAGGUGUCCCUAGGAGGUUAAAGUGCCAACUGCGUAUUCCACCAUCUCCGGUAUGAGAAUCAAAGUUGCACGUCAUUCCUCAUCUCUCUCUCUCUUCUCAUGUCCUGUGUUCUCAAAAUCUAUAAGGAGGUGUUGCACCUCUGAGUCAUUAUAAUAUGCAAAAAAAUAACUACAAGCAUAGUAGCAGUGAGCAGUCCGAAAGACGUGGUCUUAGUGGGUUGGAUUAUUUUAUUAUUAUUAUUAGUUUCCAAUAUUUCCUGUUGAAUGGACUCAAAUCAGAGAGACUUUCAAAGUGCUAAUCAGGGAAUCAAACUGAGAUCGAGCAGUCUGCAGCACAAAGACAUCUGUGAUUACGCUGCUAUCAGAAGCGGAAUUAGUCCUAAUCCGGUUACAACAGAGCUGGACUCCAUUAAUUUCCCACAGCCUUUAACAGGAAGAGCUGAAGUGGAAUGAGAGGAAUCACGGUCUCUUACAUCCUGACAUCUGAGCAAACUCAUGUCCUGCUCACUUACGCCAGCAUCAACCUGCCAACUCUGAUCCUGGCAUGAAAGACACAGGCUGACAGUGAUCCUGACUCUACCUCUCUGCUUCAGCUGCUGAAGUUUUCUUUGAAUACGCCAGAGCGUCAGACAGAGCGGGUCCCGGGGUUACUCCCAGCUGAUCGGAGCAGGUUUCUGAGUGGGAGGUUUUCAUUGGUUGUGUGGGCAGCUGUGUGCUGAUAGUGAGAGUCAGCGUUGACAGAGGAAGAAUGAAUAUUAAACAAAUAAUCAAACAAAUGAAAAUAAGUGAAGAAUACAAUUUUGAAUCGUCAGCUCUGAUAUUCGGUGUUUCCCUCGUGGCUGUGUCCAUUAAAGACGUUUUCAGACAUGAGCUCUGUAAAAUGUCCUGAAAAUUGGGCCUGGACAUUAUUGCCUUUCACAUAUGAAGAACGCAGCAGGAGAUUCUUCAAGUCAGACGAGUUCACAAUGACAGGAAAAUCUCUGGGACAUUCAGACGAGGGGUUGGCGCCUGGGUGGAGCCAUGCAGGAGGCAGGACAUGACGUAUAAAUUCCGUUGUGGAGAUCACUGUUUUUUUGUUUACAGCACAUCGACAAUGAUGUCGUCCCUUACCGACAAAACGCUCUUGUAUCUUGUCCAAUUUAACAGCUUCAACUGUGUCUUCUACACGCAUGGCGACUCUUUUUGAUCCUGAGAUAUUAAAUAUUCUUUGUUUUUCAA